GGCAAAUGCACUCUGUGUCACAUAGAUCCUUAACCUCUUGUGAUUCAAUUUGUUAGUUUGCCAGAUCAAGGGGAUGCGGUUUAUCCAUGUAGUCGAGUCCCUUUAAGUUUGAUUGCAUUGAAAACGUAUCUUACACGCC